CUACGGGAGGCUGCAGUGAGGAAUAUUGCACAAUGGGGGGAACCCUGAUGCAGCAACGCCGCGUGGAGGAUGACGCAUUUCGGUGUGUAAACUCCUUUUAUAUGUCAAGAAAAUGACGGUAGCAUAUGAAUAAGCACCGGCUAACUCCGUGCCAGCAGCCGCGGUAAUACGGAGGGUGCAAGCGUUACUCGGAAUCACUGGGCGUAAAGGACGCGUAGGCGGGUUGGAAAGUCAGGUGUGAAAUCCUACAGCUUAACUGUAGAACUGCACUUGAAACUUCUAAUCUAGAGUAUUGGAGGGGGAGAUGGAAUUAGUGGUGUAGGGGUAAAAUCCGUAGAUAUCACUAGGAAUACCUAAAGCGAAGGCGAUCUCCUGGAACAUUACUGACGCUAAGGCGUGAAAGCGUGGGGAGCAAACAGGAUUAGAUACCCCAGUUAGUC
rnacentral:rRNA from 1 species